rnacentral:rRNA from 1 species
CCUACGGGAGGCAGCAGUGGGGAAUAUUGCGCAAUGGGCGAAAGCCUGACGCAGCGACGCCGCGUGAGGGAUGAAGGUCUUCGGAUCGUAAACCUCUGUCAGCAGGGAAGAACGGUCACGGGGCUAAUCAGCAGUGAAUGGACGGUACCGGCAAAGGAAGCACCGGCUAACUCCGGGCCAGCAGCCGCGGUAAUACGGAGGGUGCGAGCGUUAAUCGGAAUUACUGGGCGUAAAGCGCUCGUAGGCGGUAUGUCAAGUCAAGGGUGAAAUCCCCGCGCGCAACGUGGGAACUGCCUUUGAAACUUGCACACUGGUGUGUGUUAGCGGUUAGUUGAAUUCCCGGUGUAGUCGU